AUGCAUUUAUUUGAAUAAAUCUUGUUUAUUUUCUUUCUUCAUAUUCAAUACUGAAUCCAUCUUAUUUCUAAUUUGUGGAUAUUUUCUGUUGAUAAUGUAGGUUUUAUUUCUGUUUUUUAGGUGGGCAGAUGGUACUAGGCUGUUGGUUCCAUGGUGACUGUAGCACGAGGCGGAUGGCUCGAUCAGGUGGAGUCUUCAGUGGAUUGGCGGUACAGGUGGUUGACGGUCCGGCCUGCUCUUCAACCCGGUGGAUGGCUCUCUCAGGCUCCCUUGGCACAUAGAUGAUGUCAUAUGUUGGUGGUGCGGGCUGUUCCUCUAUGUGAUGGAUGGCGCCCUUGAGCUCCUCCUGGCGUCCGGUACUAUGCGGUUCGACUCCAAGCUGGUUAUCCUGGGAGAAUGUCUAUGAAGGAUGACGGGAUAGCUGCGCGAUGCAUGAGUAUAUGCGUAGAUGUCUCCUGAGCUUGGGCACAGGGAUUGGCGGUACUGGGUCCUGAGAUGUCUGUGCGCGGCUGCUCCUCCUGCAUGGCAGCUUCCGUCCCGGAGACCACUGGCAUAAUCCUUAGCAGGAGACAACUAUCCUCCACCUGUGUAGAUGAAAGGUCAUCUAAUAUGUGGGGCUGGAAAUCGGCAGCUGUGAUGCCAGAUGCAGAGGGUGGGGGAUGGUCGGGCGAGGUAUCUUCAGCAUUGGAUAGAGUUGGAUGAAUUGAAAUGUUGUCUGCCAUGAUGUGAUGGAUUAUGCAACAGUGUGAUACAGUGAAGAAACGCAAAUAUUCAAAUGAUGUUCAGUGAUUCUAUUCUCACUAGCCCGCAAUAUAUGCUUGAUUGAAUUUUCUUCCCUCUUUGUGCUUUAAAAAAGGUUUGAAAAUGCAGUAAAUGAAUUUAAUCCUUCUUUCCGUAAACCUUUAUAAACUGCUUUG